UACGUAGGGGGCAAGCGUUGUCCGGAAUCAUUGGGCGUAAAGAGCGUGUAGGCGGCCAGAAAAGUCCGCUGUGAAAACUCGAGGCUCAACUUCGAGCUGUCGGUGGAAACUUUCUGGCUAGAGUCCGGAAGAGGAGAAUGGAAUUCCUGGUGUAGCGGUGAAAUGCGCAGAUAUCAGGAAGAACACCCGUGGCGAAGGCGGUUCUCUGGGCUGACACUGACGCUCAUGCACGAAAGCGUGGGGAGCAAACAGG
rnacentral:rRNA from 1 species